UCAAAUUGAAGCCCUAUAACUCAAUUUAUGUCUUACACACUCAGCAAAGGUCAAAGUUUAUUUAAUGCUGAAUAUCUUCUAUGUCUUGAAUCAUAGGUUUGAGAAAUGAAAACGAUGGAAUUAGGAAAAGGUAUAAGAUUUAUUUGUUGCUUUAUGUUUUAGCUAUCCAUAAGCUUUGAAAUCCUCUAAAUUGGACUUAUAAACUAAAAGAUAUGACCAAAAUGGUAUAAACUGUGCAGGCUGGAAACCAAAAGCUAGGCAGACUAGAAGUUGUUACUUUAGCUCAAUAUUUGACUACCUUAACAACGUAAUUCAGAUAUGUGAUAGAAGACAAAUUGGUACCCUAAUGUUUUAGCUAACCAUAGAAAGUAGAAUCACCUAAAUUGGAUUUAUAAAUUGAGAGAUAUG
rnacentral:lncRNA from 1 species